AAAAAGGGAUUCUCUCGUGAGUGGCACAUGCUGGGCAACUCGAUUGUUCUGUAUGCGGAAUCAACAUCAAGAGAUUUCAGAAGCAUAAUUUUUUGGUAUCUGGGCAGCUAGUGAUCUUUGGUCCUGGUGCCUGU